CUGGCGGCAGGCCUAACACAUGCAAGUCGAACGGUAACAGGAAGCAGCUUGCUGCUUCGCUGACGAGUGGCGGACGGGUGAGUAAUGUCUGGGAAGCUGCCUGAUGGAGGGGGAUAACUACUGGAAACGGUAGCUAAUACCGCAUAAUGUCGCAAGACCAAAGAGGGGGACCUUCGGGCCUCUUGCCAUCGGAUGUGCCCAGAUGGGAUUAGCUUGUUGGUGGGGUAACGGCUCACCAAGGCGACGAUCCCUAGCUGGUCUGAGAGGAUGACCAGCCACACUGGAACUGAGGCACGGUCCAGACUCCUACGGGAGGCAGCAGUGGGGAAUAUUGCACAAUGGGCGCAAGCCUGAUGCAGCCAUGCCGCGUGUAUGAAGAAGGCCUUCGGGUUGUAAAGUACUUUCAGCGGGGAGGAAGGGAGUAAAGUUAAUACCUUUGCUCAUUGACGUUACCCGCAGAAGAAGCACCGGCUAACUCCGUGCCAGCAGCCGCGGUAAUACGGAGGGUGCAAGCGUUAAUCGGAAUUACUGGGCGUAAAGCGCACGCAGGCGGUUUGUUAAGUCAGAUGUGAAAUCCCCGGGCUCAACCUGGGAACUGCAUCUGAUACUGGCAAGCUUGAGUCUCGUAGAGGGGGGUAGAAUUCCAGGUGUAGCGGUGAAAUGCGUAGAGAUCUGGAGGAAUACCGGUGGCGAAGGCGGCCCCCUGGACGAAGACUGACGCUCAGGUGCGAAAGCGUGGGGAGCAAACAGGAUAGAUACCCUGGUAGUCCACGCCGUAAACGAUGUCGACUUGGAGGUUGUGCCCUUGAGGCGUGGCUUCCGGAGCUAACGCGUUAAGUCGACCGCCUGGGGAGUACGGCCGCAAGGUUAAAACUCAAAUGAAUUGACGGGGGCCCGCACAAGCGGUGGAGCAUGUGGUUUAAUUCGAUGCAACGCGAAGAACCUUACCUGGUCUUGACAUCCACGGAAGUUUUCAGAGAAGAGAAUGUGCCUUCGGGAACCGUGAGACAGGUGCUGCAUGGCUGUCGUCAGCUCGUGUUGUGAAAUGUUGGGUUAAGUCCCGCAACGAGCGCAACCCUUAUCCUUUGUUGCCAGCGGUCCGGCCGGGAACUCAAAGGAGACUGCCAGUGAUAAACUGGAGGAAGGUGGGGAUGACGUCAAGUCAUCAUGGCCCUUACGACCAGGGCUACACACGUGCUACAAUGGCGCAUACAAAGAGAAGCGACCUCGCGAGAGCAAGCGGACCUCAUAAAGUGCGUCGUAGUCCGGAUUGGAGUCUGCAACUCGACUCCAUGAAGUCGGAAUCGCUAGUAAUCGUGGAUCAGAAUGCCACGGUGAAUACGUUCCCGGGCCUUGUACACACCGCCCGUCACACCAUGGGAGUGGGUUGCAAAAGAAGUAGGUAGCUUAACCUUCGGGAGGGCGCUUACCACUUUGUGAUUCAUGACUGGGGUGAAGUCGUAACAAGGUAACCGUAGGGGAACCUGCGGUUG
rnacentral:rRNA from 1 species